rnacentral:lncRNA from 1 species
UUUUUUUUUUUUUCUUUUUAGGGCCAUACCUGCAGCAUAUGGAAGUUCCCAUGCUAGGGGUCAAAUCAAAGCUGCAGCUGCCAGCCUAUGCCACAGCCACAGCAACAGAGGAUGUAAGCCAUGCCUGUGACCUACACUACAGCUCACAGCAAUACCAGAUCCCUGACCCAGUGAGCAAUACCAGGGAUCAAACCUACAUCCUCAUGGAUACUAGUCAGAUUGCUUUCCACUGUACCACAUUGGGAACUCCUCUUUAGUCUUAUUUUUUAAUUGGCCAUAACAGAGAAAUGACUGAAAGAAAAAUAUAAUAGUAUGUUGUGUGUUCAUAAUAUGUGUAAAAAUAAAAUACAUGACAAUAACAGCACAGAAUAUUAAAGGAAAGAAUUGAGAAUAUGCUAUUGAAAAUUUUAUGGAGUUCCUAUUGUGGCUCAUUGGGUUAAGGACAUGAUGUUGUCUCUGUGAGGAUGCAGGUAAAAUCACUGGUCUGGCUCAGUAGGUUAAGGAUCUGGCAUGCCUGCAAGUUGCGGCAUCAUUACAGAUGUAGCUUAGACCCCAUUCUGCCAUGGCUAUGGCAUAGGCACAGCUGCAGUUCCUAUUCAACUUAUGGCCUGGGAACUUCCAUAUACUGCAGGUAUGGCAAUAAAAAAAAAAUAGGAACACUUUAAAAAUUAAAAAUAAGGCAGGAAAAGAAGGAAAAAGAACAAAGAAUAACUGCUAAUGAAUUUAAAAAGCUAGGUGGAUAGUAGUCUUUAACCCAAAUAUAUCGGUUAUUAUAUUAAAUUGCCUAAAAACACCAAUUAAAUGUUAGAUUUUACAGUGGAUUAAAAAAAGCAAUAACAAGUACAUACUAUCCAUGGUAAAUCAACCUCAGUUAUAAAUAAUACGUUAAAAAACAAAAACAGAAAAAAGAUAUACCAUGUAAAUAAAAACCUAAAGAAAACUGAAGUAGCUGUAUUAAUAGCAGCAGAGAAAACAAUGGUACCCGGAGAAUAGAGAUAUAUUAAAUGAUGACAAAGGAGUCAAUACUUGGAGGGAAACUGAAUAUUCAUAUACCUAAUAACACAGCUACAAAAUAUAUGAGGCAAAAUCUGAUGAAACUGAAAGGAGAAAGAGACACAUCCAGAACUACAUUUGAAUACUUCAAUAUUUCUCUUUCAGCAAUUGCUAAAGCAGGUAGAUAUAAAACCAGUAAGGAUAUAGGAAAUCUGAAGAAUGCUAACAAUCAACUUUACCUGACAUUUCUAGAACAUUCCACCUAAUUAAAGCAGAAUACAUAUUCUUUCAAAUGUGCAUUGAACAUAAAAUUGACCAUGUUCUGCACUGUAAAACAAACCUCAGGAGUUCCUUUCAUGGCUCAGCAGUAACGAACCCAACUAGAAUCCAUGAGGAUGUGGGUUCAAUCCCUGGCCUUGCUCAAUGGGUUAAGGAUCUGGUGUUGCCAUGAGCUCUGUGUAGGUUGCAGAUGUGGCUCCAAUCCCAUGUUGUUGUACCUGUGGAGUAAGCUGGCAGGUGUAGCUCUGAUUUGAUUCCUAGCUUGUGAAUUUCCAUAUGCUGUGGGUGUGGCCCUUAAAAAAUAAAAUAAAACAGAUCUCAUCAAAUUUAAAGAACUGAAAUUAUUCAAAGUGUGCUUAGGCCCAAACAGAAUUAAGUAGAAAUCAGUAAGAGAAAACCAUCCAGAAAAAUCACAAGAGGUGUGGAAACUCAACAACUCACCUCUAAAUAUUAGGUAUUCCACUGUUACUAAAAAAGAGAAAAUGCAAUAUUGGGGCAACAGUCUUUUCUAGAUACAGAUAUAGAAAUAGAGUAAUUAUGCUGUCAGAGUAUCUCCAUGUUAGGUCAUGGAAAAAAAGAGUAUUUAAAGCAGUUGUUAUGGACUGAAUCUUGUGUCCCCCAAAAUUCACAUGUUGAAGUCAUCUGAUUUGGAGAUAGGAUCUUUGUGAGUUAAUAAGGUUUAAAAGAGGCCAUGAGUGUGGGGCCAACAGGGUGGGAUUAGGGUCCUCAUAGAAAGAGGAAGAAAGACCAGAGCUCUCCGUCUCUUACCAUUAUGUGAGGACUCAGCUAGAAAGCAGUUGGAUGCAAGUCACGAAACAAGUUCUAAUUGGGAAGUGAGUCAGCUGGCACCUUGACCUUGGACUUCCCAGCCUUCUGAACUGUGAGGAAUAAAUGUCUCUUGUUUCAGCUAUUAGCCUAUGGUAUUUUGUUAAAGCAGCCUGAUUUAGCUAAGGAUGGCACGUCAUAUUACUGAGAGAGAGGGAACUGCCACCUCAGUUCUACUCAGUCCACCAAAUCAUAUGUGUAUAUCCUUUUAAAAAGGUGCUGGAGUUAUUAGCCUUUUUCUGCUCUUUCUGCUCAAUGGCUCUUUUACCAAGGUUUUGGCUCUCUAAUAUAUAUAUCCAUUCCUCUUCUGCCCCUUAGAGUGCUGACUCAGCCCUUUUUGUUGAGGCAAAGGAUCAGAAGAGCAACUGAAAAAUUAGGCUGCUCCAACUCAUUCAAUACACCACCUGGAAAAUGACUUCUGCCACCUCUCAAUGUUAGGAAUCCCUCAAUCAGAAGAGUCUACAAGGCUGACCAGUAGAGCAGACAAGGCAGUAUGAGGUCUUUAACAUUUACCUAGUUAAGUUAAUGCCAUACAAGGCACAUGGAGGCCAUUCAGUGCCAUCACUGAGCUCCAUAUAUCCAGUAAUUCUUAUACUUUUGUGAUUAUAAGUUCAGUACCAUUGGCACACUUUUGACUUAAUAUCUAAAUAUCUUGAUGAUCAAGCCAUCAAUUUCAUCUAAUCCUACUGAAUCAAUAGAUUCUUUUAUGAAAAUAAUAUGUACAAUAUUCCUACAUAUACUUGAGUACAUAGUUUUAACUUCUCUUUCCAAAACCUCUAACCAAAUUCACUUCAUUAUUGAUAUUUAACCUAAGAUUUGCUCAUUCUCCAGCACACUAUAUUUCCUUUCCAAUUGAUGCUGCCUAUCAUUUCUUUGCUAUUAAUUCUUUCUUUUUAAUUAGAUGGUAAGCUCUAUAAUGCCAUCGAUAGUCACUUUUUUUCCCUGCUCAUUUAUUCCUAGCACCUGGCACAUUGGCUCAGUAAAUAUCUGCUGCAGGAUACAUCCCACAGAUUUUUUAUUUUCUCUCCCUCUAUCUGUGUCUCUCUGUCUCUGUCUCUCUGUCUCUCUCUCACAUACACACACACACACACACACACUCACAUGGGAGCUUCUGGCUUCUUUGCUAAUAUACAUGUACCAGGUUUUCUCUUGUAGCAUUUGACACAGUUAUCUCAUCAUAUUCAUCAGAUAUGCCAAUGCUUAUUAGCCUCGGGGCAAUGC